rnacentral:rRNA from 1 species
UACAGAGGUCCCAAGCGUUGUCCGGAAUUACUGGGCGUAAAGAGCGCGUAGGCGGCACGGUACGACCGGUGUGAAAGCCCCCGGCUCAACUGGGGAGGGUCACCGGUAACGGUCGAGCUAUGAGUGCAGGAGAGGGAAGUGGAACUCCGGGAGUAGCGGUGAAAUGCGUAGAGACCCGGAGGAACACCAGUGGCGAAGGCGGCUUGCUGGUCUGCGACUGACGCUGUGGCGCGAAAGCUAGGGGAGCAAACGGG